CCACCGACCUUCAUAUUUACCUGUGACGCCCCAGAGUUAAUUGCAGCGAAUUCCUGCGCCGGGUGCAAAGUGGGGGCUCGUUGUUGCUUUAUUUUACAUAACAAACACUGGGGAUCCCGUCAUUCCUCUCCGGUUUCCAGGGAACUGGGACCAAAGAUGCAAGAAAGAGAGAAAAAGGGUUUUGAGCCGGCGCGAAUCAACGGGAGCUUACGAGACAAAAGUCUCAGAUGAAUAAACCAUUCAGUGUGGUUUGUUCGUUGUAAUCCGGGUCGGGGCGGCUGAGGUAAAAAGUGUUUUUAGUUUCCCCCACUGGGAGCUUUCUAUGCUGAGAACAAGUGGUUAUUAACGUCUUAUUACCAUAGCCGGUUCCACACAUUCCGCCGAUUGGGAAACAAUGUGUAUGCCGUUCGUUGGGGGAGUCGUGGUAGAACCGAGAGCCCCCCCCUCCCUUUCUAACAAACUAGACUUGGUCUUCACAGUAGCCGGGACGCGUCGGGGUCACCUCGGCUCCCGAUCUCCGGUAAACGAAACGGUGCCCUUCGACUCGGAUUUGGCAGAGCCGGUGGGGGGGGGGGGGCGUGCACAUCAAAGUAAGGCCUGACCUUGCAUACCAGAUGAGGUUUGGAUUAACGAGCUCUGGACAUCAAACGGUAGGAUCACUCCCCCACGAGUCAUCGAAACCCCCCCACACCCUCCAUCGGUGAAAUUUACAGCGCAGCGUAAAAAAGAAAGUUCUGGAAACAUCAACAUCGACCUCGCUGCGCAUCUCAGUUUGAAACGAUGUGACGGAAAGGGGGGGGGUUAAAAAUCCCUCCAAUUAUGUGAUGUGUGGGAGAGCACAAUGAACCGGGCCGCAUGCCAAACAGCAUCCUUUACCAAACAAAUAGAGGACUGCACACUGACAGCAUCUAUCUGUGGAGACUUAGGAAGCCAAGAGGACGUCCCGGCCGAGGUGGUUAGCUGGUCCCUCAGACGCUUCACCGGGACACGAUCCUCCUUUCAAAGAGGACGCUGCUGCUUUGAAGAGCGAUAAAAGCACUUGUUUUAAGGGGGAUGAGAGCGGCCCUGUCUGAAGCACACGCCGCCUUGUUUGAGUGUGAAUAUUUAUUAAUAAUGUUAAUCUGCAAAUAAAACAAUUCUCCAAGCGGUGUGAUAAAAACACCACGCGCCAUCCACAUUUAACCAUCUAUAUUUAUACAACCUUUUCUUCCAGCCUCGUCUCUCUGCUCGGUGUUCAGCAGCGUUUUAAAGAGAUGAACGCAAAAUUUUAUGCUUUUUAUGGUAAAAACCAAAGCUUAUUUGUGGCAAGAUUUUAAAUAUAGACAUUUAAGGCUAUUUUGGACGUUUUAAUAUGAUAGAGGCAUGCGACACAACUGUGUAACUGAUCAAUUAUUACCCGAGUACACUAAAUAUAAUCAGCUUAUAUUACAUCUUGGGAAAACUGCUUUUCCUCUUGGGGAGGUCACACGCAUUCAUUGAGGGGCCGAGCCGGACAUCUGGACAAAGACAAAUGGAAAUGUUCGAUGCUACUGACAGGUCACACAGGUCAUCGGCGCUUCAUUGGCACACUAAUAUGGGUCCGAAUGAGGCAGCGAGUCCAACAUGGUCCACUUUUCAGAUGUUAUCAAUGCAGGAACAUCAUGUGAAUACAUUUGAAGCCAGAAUGUUCUGAUAAUGUCUAUACGUUCGUCCGCUAAUGAAAAAAGGUCAAAGACAGAAAAUAAACAUAAUUCUGGCCUGGAUUUGGGACGCUUCAUGAAUUAAAAACAUUUUCCUCUGCGUCAGUUGUUGGGUAACUUUGAACUUAAUUACGUUUUUAUGAGUU
ensembl:lncRNA